rnacentral:rRNA from 1 species
GAGACUGCCGGGGUUAACUCGGAGGAAGGUGGGGAUGACGUCAAAUCAUCAUGCCCCUUAUGACCUGGGCUACACACGUGCUACAAUGGUCGGUACAAAGGGUUGCUACCUAGCGAUAGGAUGCUAAUCUCAAAAAGCCGAUCGUAGUCCGGAUUGGAGUCUGCAACUCGACUCCAUGAAGUCGGAAUCGCUAGUAAUCGCGGAUCAGCACGCCGCGGUGAAUACGUUCCCGGGCCUUGUACACACCGCCCGUCACACCAUGGGAGUGGGUUGCAAAAGAAGUAGGUAGCUUAACCUUCGGGAGGGCGCUUACCACUUUGUGAUUCAUGACUGGGGUGAAGUCGUAACAAGGUAGCCGUAGGAACCUGCGGCUGGA